AGAUUGAACGCUGGCGGCGUGCCUAACACAUGCAAGUCGAGCGGUAACAGGUGUAGCAAUACAUGCUGACGAGCGGCGAACGGGUGAGUAAUGCUUCGGAAUCUGCCCAUGAAGUGGGGAAUAACCAGCCGAAAGGUUGGCUAAUACCGCAUACGACCUACGGGUGAAAGCAGGGGAUCGCAAGACCUUGCGCUAUUGGAUGAGCCGAAGUCGGAUUAGCUAGUUGGUAGGGUAACGGCCUACCAAGGCGACGAUCCGUAGCUGGUCUGAGAGGACGACCAGCCACACUGGGACUGAGACACGGCCCAGACUCCUACGGGAGGCAGCAGUGGGGAAUAGUU
rnacentral:rRNA from 1 species